UACGAGGGGGGCGAGCGUUGUUCGGAAUUAUUGGGCGUAAAGGGCGCGUAGGCGGUGCGGUAAGUCACCUGUGAAACCUCUAGGCUUAACCUAGAGCCUGCAGGCGAAACUGCUUGACUGGAGUGUGGGAGAGGUGACUCGUGGAAUUCCCGGUGUAGCGGAUGAAAUGCGUAGAUGAUCGGGAGGAACACCUGUGGCGA
rnacentral:rRNA from 1 species